rnacentral:rRNA from 1 species
AAAUUGAAGAGUUUGAUCAUGGCUCAGAUUGAACGCUGGCGGCAGGCCUAACACAUGCAAGUCGAACGGUAACAGGAAACAGCUUGCUGUUUCGCUGACGAGUGGCGGACGGGUGAGUAAUGUCUGGGAAACUGCCUGAUGGAGGGGGAUAACUACUGGAAACGGUAGCUAAUACCGCAUAACGUCGCAAGACCAAAGAGGGGGACCUUCGGGCCUCUUGCCAUCGGAUGUGCCCAGAUGGGAUUAGCUUGUUGGUGGGGUAACGGCUCACCAAGGCGACGAUCCCUAGCUGGUCUGAGAGGAUGACCAGCCACACUGGAACUGAGACACGGUCCAGACUCCUACGGGAGGCAGCAGUGGGGAAUAUUGCACAAUGGGCGCAAGCCUGAUGCAGCCAUGCCGCGUGUAUGAAGAAGGCCUUCGGGUUGUAAAGUACUUUCAGCGGGGAGGAA